rnacentral:rRNA from 1 species
GUGAGCAACCUGCCCCUGACUCCGGGAUAAGCGGUGGAAACGCCGUCUAAUACCGGAUAUGACACACCAUCUCAUGGUGGUGUGUGGAAAGUUUUGUCGGUCAGGGAUGGGCUCGCGGCCUAUCAGCUUGUUGGUGGGGUAAAGGCCUACCAAGGCGAUUACGGGUAGCCGGCCUGAGAGGGCGACCGGCCACACUGGGACUGAGACACGGCCCAGACUCCUGCGGGAGGCAGCAGUGGGGAAUAUUGCACAAUGGGCGAAAGCCUGAUGCAGCGACGCCGCGUGGGGGAUGACGGCCUUCGGGUUGUAAACCUCUUUUACCACCAACGCAGGCCCCGGGUUCUCUCGGGGUUGACGGUAGGUGGGGAAUAAGGACCGGCUAACUACGUGCCAGCAGCCGCGGUAAUACGUAGGGUCCGAGCGUUGUCCGGAAUUAUUGGGCGUAAAGAGCUCGUAGGCGGCGUGUCGCGUCUGCUGUGAAAGACCGGGGCUUAACCCCGGUUCUGCAGUGGAUACGGGCAUGCUAGAGGUAGGUAGGGG